CAUCGAUGAAGAACGCAGCGAAAUGCGAUAAGUAAUGUGAAUUGCAGAAUUCAGUGAAUCAUCGAAUCUUUGAACGCAUCUUGCGCUCCUUGGUAUUCCGAGGAGUAUGCCUGUUUGAGUGUCAU
rnacentral:rRNA from 1 species